UCCAGAUUGUGAACUUGACCCUCAAGCUGGGAAGGCUGCCUGACAAUCAGAUAACAUUUGUUAUUCACAGGCUCCUCUUCUCUGUAGAUAACUCUAACACCUUCUCUCCCCUGGCCCCUAGCUCAUCACACCUCUUCCCACCUCUUCAUUCUCCCUUUGCUUCUUAUUGUGCAGAAACAAAUUACAAGCAAUGAGAAGUGAACUUUCACAGGUGCCUACCACCCUGUCUACCACCCACCCACCUGCCCUGGGGCCUCUGGCUUUCCCACGGUGACUGCCCUGCAAACGUCAGCCUUCUGUGUGACCUGCUCACACCCCUUCCGCCCACUCCAGGUCACACAGUCUCACAAUUGUCGCUGUCUCCUGCGCCUUAGAAUCCCCCUCUGCACUCGAUCAUUCUCAGCAGCCCACACGGUGUCAUCCCUCUCGUCUGGAAACAAACCCUCUCUUGACUUCACCCCCACCCCUUCCAGCUAUGGCUCCAUUUCUUUGCUUCUCUUUACGAUUUUAUUUUAAAGUAACCUCUACACCCAACAUGGGGCUCAAACUCACGACACCGAGAUCAAGAGUCCAACGUUCUACUGAUUGAGCCAGCCGGGCACCCCUACUUAGUACCUUCUUCAUCAUGAGGGCUUGUUUGGCAUACUAGAUAACCAGUGUCCACACCAGUGCCCCCCACACAAUACGUGUGCAAUGAAGAGAUGUUAAGUGAAUGAACCAACGAAUCAUCACAAACCUACUCCACAGAUGAGGAAACUGAGGCACAGGAAGGACUUGGCCACUCUCCACUGUCCACUCCCCUCUCCUUGACACGGGCAGACCUCUGUGACUGCUUCAACUUUCAGAGCGCCAUAGACGUGACAUUGCUAAGGGAUUUCCAAGGCUGGGUCAUAAAAGAAGAUACAGCAC